CUCAUGGCUGUAGGGAAGGAGGAUGUCACUGAUGGUGGGAGGAGCCCAAGGGACUAGGUCGGAGAUCUGUAGCAAGCAUCCCCAGGGCAGGUAUCAAGGAAACAUGCUUCCCCGCCGCCCCACUGAACCCCAGGUCUCCUGCUUACCCCGCUCUACACGGCCAUUGGGGGGCCCGGGACGAGAGGGGUCAAAGUUGGCCAGCUCUUUCUCCAUGUAGUACAGGACUCUCAUGGAAUCAUCCUGCUGAUUGGCCUGGAUCCGGUAGCCACUACGGACUUCUAGAGACAGAGGCGGAAAUGACCAGGACCCCUGAAGCCAGAGGACUUCAGCUUACUGAGUCCCAUCUCCUACAUAAUUCCUGAAAGAGCUUUUGGAAUAGAAUGCACACUGGUGGUCCACAGCCCUGAUCUCGCAGCCCAAUAUAUUUAACGUGAUGGUAGUUUGCCAACAUUUGACAAUCAAAAGGUUUUACACAGAACUCCAACUUUCCAGAUACCUUAGCAAUAAAUGCCUCUGCCCUGGA